ACACAAGCAUUUCGCUACACCCGCAAUAACAUCUGCUAAAUAUGUGUAUGUGACCAAUUUGAUGUGGCACUCUGCUAUAAAAUCUAAUGAGAGAUUUAUUCGGGCUGUGUUGUUCACCCACUAAAUCCCAUUAACCCAUUUGGUCCCACAGAAAAAGCUGGACAGCCUGAAGUGUCUGAACCUGUUCAACUGUGAGGUGACCAACCUGAAUGACUACAGGGAGAGUGUGUUCAAGCUGCUCCCACAGCUCACCUACCUGGACGGGUACGACGUGGAGGACCGAGAGGCACCCGACUCGGACGGAGAGGUGAACGGUGACGACGAUGAGGAAGGGAAUGAGGAUGGAAAGGAACACUUUGAUGAGGAGACUGUGAUGAAGAGGAGGAGUAGUAGGAGAGGAGGAUGAGGUCAGUGGCGAUAAGGAGGAGGAAGGCCUUGGCAUUGAUGAUGAGGACAAUGAUGAAGAUGGUAUGUAAUUCUCAUUCUUUUUGUCACAAGCUCACGUUGGAUACUUUACUAAGUACAGUAUCGUAUAGUAUAAUAAGCCUUUCCCAUUUCUCCCAGAAGUCAAGGCUGUCCAAG